rnacentral:rRNA from 1 species
AUAGCGUAUAUUAAAGUUGUUGCAGUUAAAAAGCUCGUAGUCGAAAUUCAGACCCGGCCGGGCGGUCCGCCUCACGGUGUGUACUGUCUGGCUGGGCCUUACCUCUUGGUGAGCCGGCAUGCCCUUCACUGGGUGUGUCGGGGAACCAGGACUUUUACUUUGAGAAAAUUAGAGUGUUCAAAGCAGGCCUACGCCCGAAUACAUUAGCAUGGAAUAAUAGAAUAGGACGUGCGGUUCUAUUUUGUUGGUUUCUAGAGUCGCCGUAAUGAUUAAUAGGGAUAGUUGGGGGCAUUGGUAUUGAGUCGCUAGAGGUGAAAUUCUUGGAUUGACUCAAGACCAACUAUUG